rnacentral:rRNA from 1 species
AUACGGAGGAUCCGAGCGUUAUCCGGAUUUAUUGGGUUUAAAGGGUGCGCAGGCGGCCAUUUAAGUCAGCGGUUAAAUCGUGGGGCUCAACCCCAUUCUGCCGUUGAUACUGGGUGGCUUGAUUGCGGUCGAGGUUGGCGGAAUUCGUUGUGUAGCGGUGAAAUGCAUAGAUAUGACGAAGAGCACCGAUUGCGUAGGCAGCUGACCAGACCGCAAAUGACGCUCAUGCACGAAAGUGCGGGGAUCGAACAGGAUUAGAUACCCUGGUAGUCCGCACAGUAAACGAUGAAUACUUGUUUUCGGCGAUACAAUGUCGGAGGCAAAGCGAAAGCGAUAAGUAUUCCACCUGGGGAGUACGCCGGCAACGGUGAAACUCAAAGGAAUUGACGGGG